GUCUAUGGUCAUGCUACCCUGAACAAGCCCGAUCCUAUCUGAUCUUGGAAGCUAAGCAGGGUCAGGUCUGGUUAGUACUUGGAUGGGAGACCACCUAGGAAGACCUGUAGGCUUAAAAG
rnacentral:rRNA from 1 species